GUUAGACACCUUAUUUAUAUAGGUUAGUUAUUUUAGUUAUUUAGCGACGCACCAUAGUAGACGCAUAUUGAACGGGACUAGUGACGUUUGGGAUAUGUUGGGUUAGAGACCGGAAAAUCAGUUAGCGAUAGAACAUUCCAGGGUAACGACGUGUUUAGUGACAGAGACUUCUACUGUGGCCCUUUUAUCAUAAUAAAUACAUGUUGAAUAGUUCAUCAGAGUCGACUACAUCUCUUCACUAGUUAAAAUAGAUGUGCCAGUUCUUGUUUGUGUUGUAGUUCAACUGCACGUAAUACACCCGGACAAUUACACCCAAACGAUUGCAGAGUAAUUGGUUGACUUCAAGACAGCCUGAACUAGCAACAUCACAGUGGCGACCCCGAACCUCGAAGCCGGACCCCUGUUGAAGCCGAACAUCGAACCGAACCUCGAAGCCGGACCCCUGAUGAAGCUGAACAUCGAACCGGACUUCGAAGCAGAACGUUUACUCAGGUGAGGGUCGUGCACUCGAAGAUAUAAGAUUUCAUCGGAGUACGGCUGAACACAGCAGUAUCGCAGAGUGACUUUGUUCUAGAUCUACAUACAGUCAUCGCCUGUUUGAUCGCACGUUCAACGAGCCGUUAACUCAGGGUGACCUUCGUCAGGACCGUAAUCAUCGCAACGCCUGAUCUUCAUAUGCUGAAUCGACCUACAGCCAGAGAAACCGUUCAUUCAUAACGGGUGAGAGAUCGUUAGUGAACCUGUUGGACAUAUUUUUUCUUCGUCAUAGGAGCCACAUUGAGUAUCAAGUUUUACCUCGUCAGUUUCGAGAAGGACAGUUUACCCGCUGUCAGAAGUAUUGUGAGUACUACAAGUUUGGUAGCUAACUAAAUCGAAAUCGCUCUGUCGUCUUACCCUUGGAGAGAUUCUUGUGGAGCAGUUUGCUCAUUGAACCGGUUGCUUGCCACGUUUAUAACGGUCACUGUGUUUAACCUUUGGAAGGUUAGUGAAGUAAUCUUUAUCAGUACUGAACAUUGAUAUAUCUAGUAUUCGUCGGUCUAGACCAUAUCUAGACUUGUUGAUAUUGCAGUUGUGGAAACAGCUACAUCCACUUAAUCUCGUUGAAAACCGUUAGUCGUAUAACGGAACGUCGUCGGAGGUGACCUUGGUCUCACCUAGUCUACAUUGGACAGUUUGGUCUAGUGAAGCAGAGUACAACAGCAAACUUCGUCGUACUACCAGAGUAGCAGCAGAAGCAGUGAACUAUUUUAGAGAACCGUUAUUCGUCAGCCCAGAUCAAGUCAUCGUCAAGAAAGCCGUUAUUCGUCAGCCCAGAUCAAGUCAUCGUCAAGAAAUUCGUUAUUCGUCAGUCGUCCAGAUCAAGUUGUCGUCAAGAGACUGUUAUUUGUCAGUAGUCGUCUACACAAGUCAAGUCAUCGCCAGAAGAACCGUUAACCUAUUCGUCAGUAACUGUGUACACAAGGUCGUCGGAACUACACAUACGGUCAUCAACAGUCGUCGAAGAAACUGGAACAUUUUGCUGUGGCAUAUCAGGACAUCUGUGGCAUUACGUGGGAUACUGGUAGCACCGGAGAACAGAGUCAGAACUGGAAGAGAGGCAGUGGAAUUUGUUGUGAUCUAACAUAUUCGGGAGUCCGAACAAAGGGAUCUUUCUUAUCAAAAGCUAAGUGCCAUUUUUCUUAUUAGUAUAUGUUUAGAUUGCCCUUAGAAAUAGAUUUUGUCUAAAUUUGGUACGUUAGCCUGAGUAAAAUCAGGUGGUGCGCCUUAAAACCCGUCGGGGUAGAAGACGUAAUUUAGAUGAAAAGCUAUAUUAUACGUUUAGGGUUGUAAUUUGUUUUGUUUGUGCAAACGUCAUAUCCGUUGUUGCCUGGUUACUUCGUGACGUUAUCAUUGUGUGCCAUAUUGUCACAUCCCAACCCAUAGUGAUAGUCUCAUUUAAUUAUUUCAUUUGUUUAUAUUAUUUUAAAUUAUUUAUUUUUAUUAAUUUAAUUAGAUCUGUAUUUUUUUUUCACUUAAUGAUAGAAAGUGCGGGUAGGAUUCUUUUACUGUGAAUCAGACUAAAAUAAUUUUAGUUUGAGCGGUUAAAAUCAAAUAUGAUUUUGCCAUGAGAAUAAUGCCGAAACUGGCUAUGUAGUCAAACACUGUCGUCUGGCUAAAUUUAGAUCUGCAAAUUGUUGUACAUCUCUUUGGUACAAUUUAAUUAUCUAGACUCUACUUUGAAAUAUUAUUAAGUUGAAGAUGAAUGAAGAUUACUGCCAGUGAAGAACAUUUGAGAUGUAUAGGACGUGCCCAUAAGAUGCCACAUUUUCCUCCAUGAUGAACUAUGUACCAAUGAAGAUGAUUCUGGAAUGUUAUGAACUGUUAUGAACAUUGACAUGAAUAUGAGGAACUGUCAAGAUGAAGAUGUCAAGAUGAAGAGAUCAAGAUUUUAUGUUUGUGGUCUUCCCCUUAAAUUGAAAAUGCCCUUGUAAGACUUGACAGUAGUGGAAAAAUAUUGACAUAUUUUUUUUUCAAGGGGGGGAGGAAUCUGUUAGACACCUUAUUUAUAUAGGUUAGUUAUUUUAGUUAUUUAGCGACGCACCAUAGUAGACGCAUAUUGAACGGGACUAGUGACGUUUGGGAUAUGUUGGGUUAGAGACCGGAAAAUCAGUUAGCGAUAGAACAUUCCAGGGUAACGACGUGUUUAGUGACAGAGACUUCUACUGUGGCCCUUUUAUCAUAAUAAAUACAUGUUGAAUAGUU